CAGAGUUAUCCAACUCCCAAACCCAUGUGAACUUAUCUCUUUGUUGCCUCGGCGCAAGCUACCCGGGACCUCGCGCCCCGGGCGGCCCGCCGGCGGACAAACCAAAACUCUUGUUAUCUUAGUUGAUUAUCUGAGUGUCUUAUUUAAUAAGUCG
rnacentral:misc_RNA from 1 species